UCUCCCGAGCAACUCGCUUCCCAGCGAUUUUCCAGCAAGUCCCGACUUCAUCCCAGCAUCCACGCUCCUCCCUUCCGAUCCAUCUGCCUCUUCAGCGUUGGAUUCCCCAGCGAUUUCAGCUCUCCCGAGAUCCCAGCUCCGUGAUUACGAUCCACCCGCGCUUCCCAGCAUCUUCGAAUCCUUCCGCGGUGGAACAACAGAGAAUCCCAAAUCCCGCGAUGCA
rnacentral:lncRNA from 1 species